rnacentral:rRNA from 1 species
UGGUGGAGUGAUUUGUCUGCUUAAUUGCGAUAACGAACGAGACCUUAACCUGCUAAAUAGCCCGCAUUGCCUCGGCAGUGCGCCGGCUUCUUAGAGGGACUAUCGGCUCAAGCCGAUGGAAGUUUGAGGCAAUAACA